UAGAGUUUGAUCCUGGCUCAGAUUGAACGCUGGCGGCAGGCCUAACACAUGCAAGUCGAGCGGAAACACAAGGGAGCUUGCUCCUGAGGUGUCGAGCGGCGGACGGGUGAGUAAUGCCUAGGUAUCUGCCCAGUCGAGGGGGAUAACAGUAGGAAACGACUGCUAAUACCGCAUACGCCCUACGGGGGAAAGGAGGGGACCUUCGGGCCUUUCGCGAUUGGAUGAACCUAGGUGGGAUUAGCUAGUAGGUGGGGUAAUGGCUCACCUAGGCAACGAUCCCUAGCUGGUCUGAGAGGAUGAUCAGCCACACUGGAACUGAGACACGGUCCAGACUCCUACGGGAGGCAGCAGUGGGGAAUAUUGCACAAUGGGCGAAAGCCUGAUGCAGCCAUACCGCGUGUAUGAAGAAGGCCUUCGGGUUGUAAAGUACUUUCAGCGAGGAGGAAAGGUAGGUAGUUAAUAACUGCUUACUGUGACGUUACUCGCAGAAGAAGCACCGGCUAACUUCGUGCCAGCAGCCGCGGUAAUACGAGGGGUGCAAGCGUUAAUCGGAAUUACUGGGCGUAAAGCGUACGCAGGCGGUUUGUUAAGCGAGAUGUGAAAGCCCCGGGCUCAACCUGGGAACUGCAUUUCGAACUGGCAAACUAGAGUCCUGUAGAGGGGGGUAGAAUUUCA
rnacentral:rRNA from 1 species